rnacentral:tRNA from 1 species
UACUAAAAAUUGUAUAAAGUGCAUGAAAGAUUUUGAAUCUUUAGGGAAUAGGGGAGGUCUAUUUUUAGUAA